rnacentral:rRNA from 1 species
GUCCAUGUCCUUGCUACCUUAAACAAGCCCAAUCCCGUCUGAUCUCGGAAGCUAAGCAGGGUCGAGCCUGGUUAGUACUUGGAUGGGAGACCACCUAGAAAGACCAGGGACUGUAGGCA